AUGAACGCUGGCGGCGUGGAUAAGGCAUGCAAGUCGGACGAUUUCCUUUUUGAAGAAGAUGCGAUUACAUCAAGUCAACUGAUAUUUUGGAGAUAGUGGCGAACGAGCUAGUAACACCUUGGUACGUACCCAAAAGUUUGGUAUAGCUCGCCGAAAGGCGGGGUAAUCCCAAAUAAUCCCUCUAUCUAUCGGAUAGAAGGGUAAAGUCGCAAGACGCUUUUGGAGCGGCCUAGGACCGAUCAGUUAGUUGGUGAGGUAAUGGCUCACCAAGACGAUGACCGGUAG
rnacentral:rRNA from 1 species